rnacentral:misc_RNA from 1 species
GAUUCCGUUUACUUGGUUGUAUGAGCACAUUACACUAGCGACCUUACCUUCUGCGACACAAGCCUUGAACGGAACGUCGAAUGUGUCUGCCAAGUCUUGUUUAGUCACCUGAGCGUUGAAAUGAAACCGAUCCACACCAUUCCAGUUAUCAAGAUCGUACGCCGUAUAAUGCUUGCAGCACGCCGCCACCUUCAGCCGCGCAUAGCCGGUGCGGCCGCCGUACGCCUGCUGGAGUCCCCGAACGUACGCGGCGGCGUACCGACCGGAGAGCCCCGGAUCCUCGCCGGGCGUCUCCUGGCCUCGUCCCCAUCGGGGGUCCCGGUAGAUGUUGACGUUGGGGCUCCAGUAGGUGAGCCCAGCCUGGCCGCCGUUGUACAUGGCUCUUGCCUCGUCAGAGACCACCCGUCCGAUAGCCUCCCAGAGGGUGGC